rnacentral:rRNA from 1 species
ACUCAAAUGAAUAGACGGGAGCCCGCACAAGCGGUGGAUUAUGUGGUUUAAUUCGAAGCAACGCGCAGAACCUUACCUAGGUUUGACAUCCUUUGACAACUCUAGAGAUAGAGCUUUCGUAGCAAUACGACAAAGAGACAGGUGCUGCAUGGCUGUCGUCAGCUCGUGUGGUGGCAUGUCGGGUUAAGUCCCUCAACGAGCGCAACCCCUAUUUUUAGUUGCCAGCAUUCAGUUGGGCACUCUAGAAAGACUGCCGUGGUUAACACGGAGGAAGGCGGGGAUGACGUCAAGUCCUCAUGGCCCUUACACCUAGGGCGACACACGUAAUACAAUGGUCGGUACAGAGGGAUGCGAAAUGGCGACAUGGAGCAAAUCUCAAAAAGCCGAUCUCAGUUCGGAUUGGAGUCUGCAACUCGACUCCAUGAAGGCGGAAUCGCUAGUAAUCGCGGAUCAGCACGCCGCGGUGAAUACGUUCCCGGGCUUUGUACACACCGCCCGU